AUUGAACGCUGGCGGCAUGCUUUACACAUGCAAGUCGAACGGCAGCGCGGGCUUCGGCCUGGCGGCGAGUGGCGAACGGGUGAGUAAUACAUCGGAACGUGCCCAGUAGUAGGGGAUAGCUCGGCGAAAGCCGGAUUAAUACCGCAUACGACCUGAGGGUGAAAGCGGGGGAUCUUCGGACCUCGCGCUAUUGGAGCGGCCGAUGGCAGAUUAGCUAGUUGGUGGGGUAAAGGCCUACCAAGGCGACGAUCUGUAGCUGGUCUGAGAGGACGACCAGCCACACUGGGACUGAGACACGGCCCAGACUCCUACGGGAGGCAGCAGUGGGGAAUUUUGGACAAUGGGCGAAAGCCUGAUCCAGCAAUGCCGCGUGUGUGAUGAAGGCCUUCGGGUUGUAAAGCACCUUUGGCGGGAACGAAAAGGACUGUGCCAAUACCACGGUUCGAUGACGGUACCCGCAGAAUAAGCACCGGCUAACUACGUG
rnacentral:rRNA from 1 species